rnacentral:rRNA from 1 species
UAGUGGAAGCGUCUGGAAAGGCGCGCGAUACAGGGUGACAGCCCCGUACACAAAAGCGCAUGUGCUGUGAGCUCGAUGAGUAGGGCGGGACACGUGGUAUCCUGUCUGAAUAUGGGGGGACCAUCCUCCAAGGCUAAAUACUCCUGACUGACCGAUAGUGAACCAGUACCGUGAGGGAAAGGCGAAAAGAACCCCGGCGAGGGGAGUGAAAAAGAACCUGAAACCGUGUACGUACAAGCAGUGGGAGCACCCUUUGGGGUGUGACUGCGUACCUUUUGUAUAAUGGGUCAGCGACUUAUAUUCUGUAGCAAGGUUAACCGAAUAGGGGAGCCGGAGGGAAACCGAGUCUUAAUUGGGCGUUAAGUUGCAGGGUAUAGACCCGAAACCCGGUGAUCUAGCCAUGGGCAGGUUGAAGGUUGGGUAACACUAACUGGAGGACCGAACCGACUAAUGUUGAAAAAUUAGCGGAUGACCUGUGGCUGGGGGUGAAAGGCCAAUCAAACCGGGAGAUAGCUGGUUCUCCCCGAAAGCUAUUUAGGUAGCGCCUCGUGAAUUCAUCUCCGGGGGUAGAGCACUGUUUCGGCUAGGGGGCCAUCCCGGCUUACCAACCCGAUGCAAACUGCGAAUACCGGAGAAUGUUAUCACGGGAGACACACGGCGGGUGCUAACGUCCGUCGUGAAGAGGGAAACAACCCAGACCGCCAGCUAAGGUCCCAAAGUCAUGGUUAAGUGGGAAACGAUGUGGGAAGGCCCAGACAGCCAGGAUGUUGGCUUAGAAGCAGCCAUCAUUUAAAGAAAGCGUAAUAGCUCACUGGUCGAGUCGGCCUGCGCGGAAGAUGUAACGGGGCUAAACCAUG